AGCGAACGCUGGCGGCAGGCCUAACACAUGCAAGUCGAACGAACCUUUCGGGGUUAGUGGCGGACGGGUGAGUAACACGUGGGAACGUGCCUUUAGGUUCGGAAUAACUCAGGGAAACUUGUGCUAAUACCGAAUGUGCCCUUCGGGGGAAAGAUUAAUCGCCGUUAGAGCGGCCCGCGUCUGAUUAGCUAGUUGGUUGAGGUAAUGGCUCACCAAGGCGACGAUCAGUAGCUGGUCUGAGAGGAUGAUCAGACACAUUGGGACUGAGACACGGCCCAAACUCCUACGGGAGGCAGCAGUGGGGAAUCUUGCGCAAUGGGCGAAAGCCUGACGCAGCCAUGCCGCGUGAAUGAUGAAGGUCUUAGGAUUGUAAAAUUCUUUCACCGGGGACGAUAAUGACGGUACCCGGAGAAGAAGCCCCGGCUAACUUCGUG
rnacentral:rRNA from 1 species